rnacentral:lncRNA from 1 species
ACUGCUUUGGUUAUACAGGUUCAUACUGGGUUAUACUGGUUCAUACUGGGUUAUACUGGGUUAUACUGGUUAAACUGGUCUGUACUGGUUCAUACUGCAUUAUAGUGCUUAUACUGGCUUAUACUGGUCCAUACUGGAUUAUACUGGUUUGUACUGCUUAUACUGCGUUAUACUGGUCCAUACUGGGUUAUACUGGUUUGUACUGGUUUAUACUUGUCCAUACUGGGUUAUAGUGGUUAUACUGGUCCGUACUGGUUACACUGGUUAGACUGGUCUGUACCAGGUUAUACUGGUUUGCACUGGGUUAUACUGGGUUAUAAUUGUUAUACCGGUUUGUACUGGUUCAUACUGGUUAUACUGGGAUAUACUGGUUUGGUUAUAUGGGUUCAUACUGGGUUAUAAUGGUUAUACUGGUUAGACUGGGAUAUACUGGUUUGUACUGGUUAUACUGGUUUGUACUGGGUUAGACUGGGUUAUACUGGUUUGGUUAUAGGGGUUCAUACUGGGUUAUAGUGGUUAUACUGGUUUGUACUGGUUCAUACUGGGUAUUGUAGCUAUACUGGUUUGUACUGGUUAUACUGGUUGUACUGGUCAGUACUCGUUUGUACUGGGUUGUACUGGUUUGUAUUAGUUAUACUGGUCCAUACUGGUUUGCACUGGAUCAUACCGGUCUGUACUGGUUUAUACUGCGUUAUACCGAUCCAUACAGGGUUAUACUGGUUUAUACUGGGUUAUACUGGUUUGGUUAUACAGGUUCAUACUGGUUCAUACUGGUUCAUACUGGUUCAUACUGGUUCAGGCCAUGGACACCCCCUCGGAUGAAGGUGACGAUGACGAUGAUGAGCAAGCUCAGGAGCGCCCCCUGCAGAUCACGGGUGUCCCCUCAGAGGCCGUUGAUGAUGAUGAAGGUGAUGACGAUGAUGAGCAGGGUCAGGAGUGCCCCCUGCAGGUCUGUACUGGUUUGUACUGGU